CCUACGGGAGGCAGCAGUGGGGAAUAUUGCACAAUGGGGGAAACCCUGAUGCAGCGACGCCGCGUGAGUGAGGAAGUAUUUCGGUAUGUUAAGCUCUAUCAGCAGGGAAGCAAAUGACGGUACCUGACUAAGAAGCCCCGGCUAACUACGUGCCAGCAGCGGCGGUAAUACGUAGGGGGCAAGCGUUAACCGGAUUUAAUGGGUGUAAAGGGGGCGUAGACGGUUAAUCAAGUCAGAAGUGAAAACCCCGGGGUCAACCCUGGGACUGCCGUUGAAACUGAGGAGCUUGAGUGCGGGAGAGGUAAGCGGAAUGCGGGGUGUAGCGGUGAAAUGCGUAGAUAUUAGGAGGAACACCGGUGGCGAAGGCAGCAUACUGGACUGUAACUGACGUUGAGGCUCGAAAGCGUGGGGAGCGAACAGGAUUAGAUACCCGGGUAGUC
rnacentral:rRNA from 1 species